CUUCUGAGAGACACCGGGGAGCAGAGGUCACAAAUCAAGAUAUGAGAGAACAGAGGCAGGGGCAUGGGAGUUCAGCCCUUCAGCCACAAAGACCCUUGCUUCAAGCAGAAAUGACCAGGUCCUUCCCAGGUAUUUUUACCAAGGCCAGAGGAAAGAGGCGCUUUCCUGCAGCAAACCUUGUUCCGGCCAAGAGAGCUAAACCCAUUGAAGUGGCUUUCUAUUUGCUGCCAAAGCCAUAUGAAAAAACUCCAAAAGAGCAGGAGCAAAUAGUCCAUAUGUAGGCAGGGUUGGGCCGUAGGACUACUCAUCUAGAUGAGAGCACAACACAUGAAGAGGUAGUAAUAUGCAAUUAGAUAUUUAGUCUAUCUUGUAUUUUAAUAUGCUGAGAAGUUCAUGAAAAACAAUUACAUUAAUUAAUUGUGGGCACACAUUAAACAAGUUAUUUUGUAGAUCUAAAUAUACAGUC